rnacentral:lncRNA from 1 species
UUUAUUCAGAUCCUCAAUGCAGAAGGUCUACCACGCCAGCCACCUUCCUGUCAGGUGUCUGGUAAGCAGGUUAACUGAUCUGUCGAUUAGGAGCCGCCAGCCUACGUGCAGCGACUGGGGAACGCAGCCCUUCCCGGUGUCUGCCUUGCCAGCGCUAACUGCAAACCAGUGACGCAAACUGUCUCACGGAGAACCUCAUCAAGCACCUCGCCGAGAGUAGCCUAGGUCGGCUAAGAAGCCAAACUUAGGCUGCGACCCCGUAGUGCUCCUCAGAGCUCGCUGACGACAAGCCUCCCGGAAUGCUUUCGGGCUGGUCCAGGAGCCAGCCAGGGGAGAGUCGGCUUUAUUCAUUAAUUGAGACAGAAACGGCAUAUCCCUAUGACAUUAAACGCAAAAUGUUGAGGGCCGGGCCCCGCGGGCUCCCUUCCUCCCUCCUGGGACCCACUCCAGGAGCCUUGCCGCCUGUCUGGUGUAACUUGUCUGAAACCCAGGAGUCAAGACGAAGUCCUGAAGAAAGCACUUCAGACUGUUUCCAGGCCUCAAGAGAUAGCUAAACUUAUUAAUGCUGUCUCCCUUUUAUUGGAUGUGUGCCUCAAAGAGCAUUUUUCUCACCCUAUUCAAUUAGUUACAAGUCUCUUCCCUUACGUUUAUGUAAUCUGAGCUAGGACCACUUGGGACUAGUGGCCUGACUGCCUCUCCCUGAACAGGGACCAGAGCAUUGCUGCCACUUGCCAGCUGACCCCAGGCCACUGCAGUCUAGCCUCAUUCGCUUGCUUCUAUCCUUCCCAGGGAGCUUCAUUUCUAGAGAAAGUUUCCUUUUCCACGCAGUUUAUGCGUCCCGAGGCCUGGGCCCACACUAACUUCUGUGUGAAAGUUGGUGUGCUGAGCUCAGGCCAAGGCCAAGCUCUGUUCUCGACAGACCCUCCAAGGUACAUAUUAAUAACCACCUGCCUAGUUCUCAUCAUGUGCUUUAUAAUGUCUUCUUUAAACCCUCAACAGCCUGUUUUAUGAUGGUCAAAAAAGCUUGGGAUAGGUGAGAUGGCUCAGUGGGCAACAGUACUUGUCUCUAAGCCAGACUAAACUUUGAUUUCCUGGAUACACGUGGAGGACCCCAUCAAGUUGUUCCCUGACCUGGGAGGAAACACAAAAGUCAGAUGUGAUCAAUUUAUUAUUAUUAUUAUUAUUAUUAUUAUUAUUAUUAUUAGUUUUUCCAGGUAGUUUCUUUCUGUAACCCUGGUUUGUUUUCUCUCUCUCUCUUUCUCUCUCUCUCUCUCUCUCUCU